UACGUAGGGGGCAAGCGUUGUCCGGAUUUAUUGGGCGUAAAGAGCUCGUAGGCGGCUUGUCGCGUCGACUGUGAAAUCCCGCGGCUCAACCGCGGGCUUGCAGUCGAUACGGGCAGGCUUGAGUUCGGUAGGGGAGACUGGAAUUCCUGGUGUAGCGGUGGAAUGCGCAGAUAUCAGGAGGAACACCGAGUGGCGAAGGCGGUCUCUGGGCCAUUACUGACACUGAGGAAGCGAAGCUGGGGAGCGAACAGG
rnacentral:rRNA from 1 species